rnacentral:rRNA from 1 species
GACGUACGCUGGCGGCGUGCUUAACACAUGCAAGUCGAACGACGAUCCGGGUGCUUGCACCUGGGGAUUAGUGGCGAACGGGUGAGUAACACGUGAGUAACCUGCCCUGGACUCUGGGAUAACCCCGAGAAAUCGGAGCUAAUACCGGAUAGGACCUUUCCUCGCAUGAGGUGGGGUGGAAAGUUUUUUCGGUUUGGGAUGGUCUCGCGGCCUAUCAGCUUGUUGGUGAGGUAAUGGCUCACCAAGGCGGCGACGGGUAGCCGGCCUGAGAGGGUGACCGGCCACACUGGGACUGAGACACGGCCCAGACUCCUACGGGAGGCAGCAGUGGGGAAUAUUGCACAAUGGGCGCAAGCCUGAUGCAGCAACGCCGCGUGCGGGAUGACGGCCUUCGGGUUGUAAACCGCUUUUAGUAGGGAAGAAGCCUCUUGGGGUGACGGUACCUGCAGAAAAAGGACCGGCUAACUACGUGCCAGCCGCCGCCGUAA